rnacentral:rRNA from 1 species
GACGAACGCUGGCGGCGUGCCUAAUACAUGCAAGUUGAGCGCUGAAGGUUGGUACUUGUACCAACUGGAUGAGCAGCGAACGGGUGAGUAACGCGUGGGGAAUCUGCCUUUGAGCGGGGGACAACAUUUGGAAACGAAUGCUAAUACCGCAUAAAAACUUUAAACACAAGUUUUAAGUUUGAAAGAUGCAAUUGCAUCACUCAAAGAUGAUCCCGCGUUGUAUUAGCUAGUUGGUGAGGUAAAGGCUCACCAAGGCGAUGAUACAUAGCCGACCUGAGAGGGUGAUCGGCCACAUUGGGACUGAGACACGGCCCAAACUCCUACGGGAGGCAGCAGUAGGGAAUCUUCGGCAAUGGACGAAAGUCUGCCGAGC